GUAACGAGUACAGAGAAUCAGGUUUGGUUCUGGAGAGGCCGCCUGAGAAACGGCGACCACUUCCAAGGAAGGCAGCAGGCGCGCAAAUUACCCACUCUCAAAAUGAGGAGGUAGUGAAGAGAAAUAACGAUGUUAGUCUUUUUCAAGGCUGACAAUCGGAAUGGGAACACUGUAAAAAGGUUAUCGAUUAACAAUUGGAGGGCAAGUCUGGUGCCAGCAGCCGCGGUAAUUCCAGCUCCAAUAAGGAAAACUAAAGUUGCUGUGUUUAAAAAGCUCGUAGUUGAAUUUCGGGUAUUUGUUGCUAGUUGGUCUAACUGGCCAUAUUGGUUAACAGAUCCUCAUUUGCUGGACGGCUGGCGAUGAUCUUUAUCGAUUGUCGUCAGUUGCCAGAACGUUUACUUUGAGAAAAUUAGAGUGCUAAAAGCAGGCUCACGCCUAUAUAUAUUGCAUGGAAUAAUGAAAUAAGAUCUCGAUUUUAUUUCGUUGGUUUUAGAAAUUGAGAUAAUGAUUAAUAGGAUCAGAGGGGG
rnacentral:rRNA from 1 species